GGUGGAUGCCUUGGCAGUCAGAGGCGAUGAAAGACGUAGUAACUUGCGAUAAGCCCAGAUUAGGUAGUAACAACCAUUUGAGUCUGGGAUUUCUGAAUGGGGAAACCCACUUACAUAAGUAAGUAUCCUUACCUGAAUACAUAGGGUAAGGAGGCGAACCGGGGGAACUGAAACAUCUAAGUACCCCGAGGAAAAGAAAUCAACCGAGAUUCCGAAAGUAGCGGCGAGCGAAAUUGGACUAGCCCUUAAGCUUUACACGCGUUAGACGAACGGUCUG
rnacentral:rRNA from 1 species